GAGAGAGAGAAAAGCGAGGACUUUUUAUUAUAGAUCUUACUUCAAAUAGAAACAUUUAUAUAAUUUUUACUUCUGUUACAAAAUAGUAUAAGCUAUAUAUGGGUGAGAUACUUUAUAAUAUAUAAUAGUGUAUCAUUUUAUAUAUACGUAAAUAUAUAAUAUUUAUGUAGCACACCACAUAAUUGUUACAUAAAUUAAUAAUUUAGUAUAUUAUACACAAUCCUUUGAGAUUAACCACUAUUUUUCAAUCUGCUAAAGAAAUGUUUUCAAUAAAGCUUAGGUAGUUUCGAGUCCGCUACAUACUCGAUAUCAAAAACGUCCAAGAAAAUUUCUUUUCAAUAAAAAAAAUUAAGGUUACGUUAACUUUAUUAAAUGGCACUUUAUAUUUUGGAUUUUAUAGAGUUUUAGCUGAUAUUAACACGAAUUCAACAGCUUACCAUACAAUGACCUUGAGAUGACCGAAUUCAGAAAUUUAUGUGCGAUAUACAGUUGUAGUUCAUUGUAAUAUGUAAUAUAAAAAUGUAUUAUCAAUAUCGUUGAAUUUACUCGAUAAAUUUAUUAGUUUGGUAGUUUUAGUCUUAUUUUGAAUAUAUAAUUUAAUCAAAAUAAAAUAAUUUUCCUUAUUGAUGUAAUAUGUAUGUAUUAAUGUGAUAUUCUUAUUGAUGUAAUCUACAUUUCAAAGUUCAAGGUUACUUCAAAAUCAUAGCGCGAUAGGUCAUUGAAUUUAUCUAUCUUAUCGUCAGCUGUGAGUCUGCUAUUUAAAAAAAACUUUCUAUCGAAAAAAAUUUUUUCUUGGAUAUUUUUAAUAUCCAAAUAUAUAGCAGACCUAAAACUAAUUUUUAUCUAAAACAUUUCUUUGGCAAAUUAUAGGAAACUGCCUGAAAAAUGAUGGAUAAUCUCAGAGUAUACACUUGGUAUGUAUAAAUACUUGUAUUAUUUGAAAUUAUUAUAUAUUAUGAAAAGGAUAUUCGAAUAACAUUAAUUGUUCUAUUUAAAAUUAUUAAAUAUGAUGAGCAGAAUUUGAAAUAUGAAAAUAUAAACAUCUAUCCUCUAUCAAGAUGUAAGAAUCUUAAAUUUUCGUUCCGAAAAUACCAAGACGGAUGUAAACAAGUAAUUCAUAUAUUUUUUGAGAAUUAUUAGCCAAAUUUUAUAUAUUACUAUUUACCUUCUAUAUUAAUAUCAUUUAUCUGGUAAUUAAUUCAGAAGACUUAUAUCAAAUCAUUAAGGCAUGAAGGAUGUUAUAUGUAUAUAUCAUAUCGCAUUGGAAUACAAAUAUGUUCACUUUAGAAUUAAGUUAUACAAAUCUUUAAAUCUUUAUCAUUUGUAAUCCAAAAUUUUUUAUUUCUUUUAUAUAAAAUCAGGCUGUAAAAUAAGUGGCAAGAAUGGUAAAAAUUUAAUAAAAACUAUUUUGAAGCA
rnacentral:lncRNA from 1 species